UUGCGCAAGUGAUAGAUUUUUCAGCAAUGUUAGCAAUCUUCUGUCGCGCCCGUGCACGUAAGCUUUACCUCAGUUUCACGGCCCGGACGACAUGUCCAACCGGCUCGCCCAAUCAGGUGAACGGAAGCCGCCGAUCCUACCGGAUCGUCACGGCACCCGGGUCCGCACUGCCCAACCAGGCAGGCGAAGAAAGCGGCGACAGCAUUGCCAGCACAGGACACUGAUCGAAAAGGGAGGCCGAGAGGCCUCCCU
rfam:Pseudomonas taeanensis MS-3 contig_10, whole genome shotgun sequence.